AGUGAACGCUGGCGGUAGGCCUAACACAUGCAAGUCGAACGGCAGCACAGGAGAGCUUGCUCUCUGGGUGGCGAGUGGCGGACGGGUGAGGAAUACAUCGGAAUCUACUCUGUCGUGGGGGAUAACGUAGGGAAACUUACGCUAAUACCGCAUACGACCUACGGGUGAAAGCACGGGACCUUCGGGCCUUGCGCGAUUGAAUGAGCCGAUGUCGGAUUAGCUAGUUGGCGGGGUAAAGGCCCACCAAGGCGACGGUCCGUAGCUGGUCUGAGAGGAUGAUCAGACACACUGGAACUGAGACACGGUCCAGACUCCUACGGGAGGCAGCAGUGGGGAAUAUUGGACAAUGGGCGCAAGCCUGAUCCAGCCAUACCGCGUGGGUGAAGAAGGCCUUCGGGUUGUAAAGCCCUUUUGUUGGGAAAGAAAUCCAGCUGGCUAAUACCCGGUUGGGAUGACGGUGCCCAAAGAAUAAGCACCGGCUAACUUCGUGCCAGCCGCCGCAGUAA
rnacentral:rRNA from 1 species